UACGGAGGAUCCGAGCGUUAUCAGGAUUUAUUGGGUUUAAAGGGUGCGCAGGCGGGGGAUUAAGUCGGCGGUGAAAUUUUGCAGCUCAACUGUAAAAGUGCCUUCGAAACUGGUUUCCUUGAGUGUAGAUGAAGUAGGCGGAAUUUGUGGUGUAGCGGUGAAAUGCAUAGAUAUCACGAGGAACUCCGAUUGCGCAGGCAGCUUACUAAACUACUACUGACGCUCAGGCACGAAGGCGUGGGGAUCAAACAGGAUUAGAUACCCGUGUA
rnacentral:rRNA from 1 species